rnacentral:rRNA from 1 species
AAUCGAACUCGGAGAUAGCUGGUUCUCCCCGAAAUAGCUUUAGGGCUAGCCUCAUGUUAGAUAUCCGGAGGUAAAGCACUGAAUGGCCUAGCGUCCGAGAGGAUAGCGAAGCCUAUCAAACUAAGAAUGCCGGAAUAUUGAUGCAUGGGAGUCAGACAGUGUGAGAUAAAUCUCAUUGUCAAAAGGGAAACAGCCCAGAUCUACAGCUAAGGUCCCAAAUUGUAUCUAAGUGGAAAACGAUGUGGAAAUACGCAGACAACCAGGAUGUUGGCUCAGAAGCAGCCACUCAUUUAAAGAGUGCGUAAUAGCUCACUGGUCGAGCGUCUCUGCGCGGAAAAUUUAACGGGGCUAAGAUACAAACCGAAGCUUAGGCUGCAUAUGAAAGUAUGCGGGGUAGGGGAGCGUUGUGUAAGCGGAGAAACAGUAGCGGAAGCGGCUGUGGAGUUUACAGAAGUGAGAAUGCCGGAAUGAGUAGCGCGAAUGAUGUGAGAAUCAUCAUGGCCGGAAACCUCAGGUUUUUGGAGGAAGGUUCGUCCGCUCCAAGUUAGGCGGGAGCUAAGGUGAGGCCGAAAGGCGUAGCCGAUGCACAGACGGUAGAGAUUCCGUCCCCACCGAAAGAUUUAAGCGCAGGGACACUUUUAGAAGGUCGGAGCCAGGUGUUGGUUCUGGUAGAGAUCGAGGGAAGUUUAGUACCGAAGUCCGGCUGGAUAAGAGGCGAGAAAAGCUGCGUGUAUAUCUAAGGUGCCCGUACCGCAAACCGACACAGGUAGGUAGGAAGAAGAUUCUAAGGCCAACGGGAGAAGGGUUGUUAAGGAACUCGGCAAGUUGACCCCGUAACUUCGGAAUAAGGGGUGCUCAUGAAAGUGAGCCGCAGAGAAUAGGCCCAGGCAACUGUUUACCAAAAACACAGGUUUGUGCUAAAUCGAAAGAUGACGUAUACGAGCUGACGCCUGCCCGGUGCUGGAAGGUUAAAAGGAGAUGUGCAAGCAUUGAAUUGAAGCCCCAGUGAACGGCGGCCGUAACUAUAACGGUCCUAAGGUAGCGAAAUUCCUUGUCAGGUAAGUUCUGACCCGCAUGAAAGGCGUAAUGAUUUGGGCACUGUCUCAACAGCCCGCCCGGCGAAAUUGUAGUACCGGUGAAGAUGCCGGUUACCCGCGACAAGACGGAAAGACCCCAUGGAGCUUUACUGUAGCCUGAUAUUGGGUUUCGGUGUUGCAUGCACAGGAUAGAUGGGACGCUGGGAAAGAAGCGCUUUGGCGUUUCUGGAGCGGACGUUGGGAUACCAUCCUUGCGACAUUGGAAUUCUAACCUGCGCCUCUGAAUCGAGGCGGGGGACAUUGUCAGGUGGGCAGUUUGACUGGGGCGGUCGCCUCCUAAAAAGUAGCGGAGGCGUUCAAAGGUUCGUUCGAUCUGGACGGAAACCAGAUGAUUGAGUGCAAACGCAUAAACGAGCCUGACUGCGAGACUGACGGGUCGAGCAGAGACGAAAGUCGGAGUUAGUGAUCCGGUGGUAUGUGAGUGGAAAUGCCAUCGCUCAACGGAUAAAAGUUACCCUGGGGAUAACAGGCUGAUCUCCCCCAAGAGUCCACAUCGACGGGGAGGUUUGGCACCUCGAUGUCGGCUCAUCGCAUCCUGGGGCUGUAUUCGGUCCCAAGGGUUUGGCUGUUCGCCAAUUAAAGCGGUACGCGAGCUGGGUUCAGAACGUCGUGAGACAGUUCGGUCCCUAUCUGUCGUGGGCGCAGGAUAUUUGAAAGGCGCUGUCCCUAGUACGAGAGGACCGGGAUGGACGAACCUCUGGUGCACCAGUUGUCACGCCAGUGGCACAGCUGGGCAGCUAUGUUCGGAUCGGAUAAACGCUGAAAGCAUCUAAGCGUGAAGCCGGCCUUAAGAUAAGAUAUCCCACUGAGACAAUCAGGUAAGACCCCUUGA